rnacentral:rRNA from 1 species
AUACGGAGGGUGCAAGCGUUACUCGGAAUCACUGGGCGUAAAGCACGCGCAGGCGGGCUGAUAAGUUGGAUGUGAAAGCCUACGGCUCAACCGUAGCACUGCAUCCAAAACUGUCAGUCUAGAGUGUGGGAGAGGAAGAUGGAAUUAGUUGUGUAGGGGUAAAAUCCGUAGAGAUAACUAGGAAUACCAAAAGCGAAGGCAAUCUUCUGGAACACUACUGACGCUGAGGCGCGAAGGCGUGGGGAGCAAACAGGAUUAGAAACCCGAGUAGUCC